GAUGAACGCUGGCGGCGUGCCUAAUACAUGCAAGUCGAGCGAACGGACGAGAAGCUUGCUUCUCUGAUGUUAGCGGCUGACGGGUGAGUAACACGUGGAUAACCUACCUAUAAGACUGGGAUAACUUCGUGAAACCGGAGCUAAUACCGGAUGAUAUUUUGAACCGCAUGGUUCAAAAGUUAAAGACGGUCUUGCUGUCACUUAUAGAUGGAUCCGCGCUGCAUUAGCUAGUUGGUAAGGUAACGGCUUACCAAGGCAACGAUGCAUAGCCGACCUGAGAGGGUGAUCGGCCACACUGGAACUGAGACACGGUCCAGACUCCUACGGGAGGCAGCAGUAGGGAAUCUUCCGCAAUGGGCGAAAGCCUGACGGAGCCACGCCGCGUGAGUGAUGAAGGUCUUCGGAUCGUAAAACUCUGUUAUUAGGGAAGAACAUAUGUGUAAGUAACUGUGCACAUCUUGACGGUACCUAAUCAGAAAGCCACGGCUAACUACGUG
rnacentral:rRNA from 1 species